CGCCGGACGCGAUUCGACAACGCGGCGAGAUUUUUCAGUUAAUAAAACAGCCAAUGAAAGGAAAUUCUAAAAGAUAUGUAGACCAAAUAAACUCAAAAUGUUAUAGCGCUUCUACAUAUUUGGAAAACUUCAACCAGGAUCAAAGUUAUCGGUCAGUGACUAAAUCGAAAAAUCGCGCCGCGUUGCCAUGAAUCGCUCCGUUGGGCCAUGAAACUAACGUUCUCCAAAGUUGGAAACAGUUUGAAAGUCAAUUAACAACAAAAUGUUACUCACACGUUAAAUUGAUUGACCAAAAAUUAGCUUAAUAAUAUUCUCCUUUCAAUUGAAAUGGGGUCUGGUUAGGAAGGCAUUCGAGAGUCGUUUAAGAUCUACGACGCGGCCGGCUCGACGACGCGGCCGGCUCGACGACGCGCUUUCGAAACAAAGAAAUUUGUUAUGCAAGACAAAAACUGUGAAUAAUUUGUGGUUCCAGACCCAGGGUAUUCACAACGGUUUUGUCAUUCUCAACACACAACGUUAAACUAAAUAUCACGUCUUUCAAGCAACGUGAAAGCUUAUUGCUACCAGAGCCGCCGAG